CCCAGUUCAGCUGCUUCGGGCAGUGUCGUCACCUCCGCCGCCAAUCAUGACUUCGCCACUGACCACGACAGUGAUCGGAAGCGGCUCUCACGGCCCCAACGUGAAAAUCUACAUUUCAUCAAACAACUUCUCACGGCAAUGCGAGUAAACUCGACGAGAUUGUAAACUCGGCAGCAAGAUGUGACGGAUUUCGGUAUCGAGUUGUUCCCGUCGCCGGCACCCUUG
rnacentral:lncRNA from 1 species